rnacentral:rRNA from 1 species
AAUGAACGUUGGCGGCGUGGAUUAGGCAUGCAAGUCGUGCGGAAAGGCCCCGCAAGGGGUACUCGAGCGGCGAAAGGGAUAGUAAUGCGUAGAUCACCUACCCCUGGGACCCGGAUAGCUGCGGGAAACUGCAAUUAAUACGGGAUGACGUCUUCGGACCAAAGGUGUGAUUCCCCCCGGGGAUGGGUCUGCGUCCUAUUAGACUGUUGGUGAGGAAACGGCUCACCAAGGCGACGAUGGGUAGCGGGUGUGAGAGCACGACCCGCAUCACUGGGACUGAGACACUGCCCAGACACCUACGGGUGGCUGCAGUCGAGGAUCUUCGGCAAUGGGCGAAAGCCUGACCGAGCGACGCCGCGUGUGGGAUGAAGGCCCUCGGGUUGUAAACCACUGUCGGAGGGGAGGAAAUGCUGGGGGGAUCACCCCUCAGCUUGACCUAUCCUCGAAGGAAGGACGGGCUAAGUUCGUGCCAGCAGCCGCGGUAAAAC